AAGUUCUAUGUAAAUAUAUG
rnacentral:snRNA from 1 species